rnacentral:rRNA from 1 species
UAACGCAGCUAACGCGUGAAGUAGACCGCCUGGGGAGUACGGUCGCAAGAUUAAAACUCAAAUGAAUUGACGGGGGCCCGCACAAGCGGUGGAUUAUGUGGAUUAAUUCGAUGCAACGCGAAAAACCUUACCUGGCCUUGACAUGUAACGAACUUUCCAGAGAUGGAUUGGUGCUCGAAAGAGAACGUUAACACAGGUGCUGCAUGGCUGUCGUCAGCUCGUGUCGUGAGAUGUUGGGUUAAGUCCCGCAACGAGCGCAACCCUUGCCAUUAAUUGCCAUCAUUUAGUUGGGCACUUUAAUGGGACUGCCGGUGACAAACCGGAGGAAGGUGGGGAUGACGUCAAGUCCUCAUGGCCCUUAUGGCCAGGGCUUCACGCGUAAUACAAUGGUCGGUACAGAGGGUUGCCAAGCCGCGAGGUGGAGCCAAUCCCAGAAAGCCGAUCGUAGUCCGGAUUGUAGUCUGCAACUCGACUACAUGAAGUCGGAAUCACUAGUAAUCGCGGAUCAGCAUGUCGCGGUGAAUACGUUCCCGGGCCUUGUACACACCGCCCGUCACACCAUGGGAGUGGGUUUUACCAGAAGUA